CAAAAAGCAGUCUCAGUUCAGAUUGUAGGCUGAAACUCGCCUAUAUGAAGUCGGAAUUGCUAGUAAUCGCAGAUCAGCAUGCUGCGGUGAAUACGUUCCCGGGCCUUGUACACACCGCCCGUCACACCAUGAGAGUCGAUAACACCCGAAGCCUGUAGUCUAACCAGUAAGGGGGACGCAGUCGAAGGUGGGAUUGAUAAUUAGGGGUGAAGUCGUAACAAGGUACC
rnacentral:rRNA from 1 species